AAGAUUGAUAACACAAUAAACUUCAUUGAUAAACCUUAGAUUGAACAUAUCUAUUCAAUGUCAUUAUCAAAUGAUCUGAUAAUUGAAAGUGUACAAAAUUAUUUGUGAUCAUAGGUAUCAAAAUUUAAAUUGAAUAUUUUUUGUAUGCAUUUACAUUUUUACAUACGAGAAUUAAUGAAAUAUUUACAUAAACUAAAUCGCAAUCACUUGUUCUCAACUAAAUUUCAAAAGGACCUUUUUUGAGAAGUAUUGAACAAUUCAUUUGAAAAAACUUCUUUUGAUUAUAAGAUUUUAAAACAAAAUCUUUCUAGAGCGCAAGAUGUUGUUGAACAAUAUCACAAGUUUAUUCGAAAAAUGUUUCUAGUAGGAAAUAUAAAAUAAUUGCAGUAAUUAGGGCCUAGGAGAAAGGGCUGACCAAAAUUGUGCUGGAGAGUCAAAAAAGAAGUGAAAGUAGGAAUAACUAAUUGGUACAAAGUGGGAAUAAUUGAAACUGAAUGGCAAACUAUGGUAUAGAAUAUAAUUCAGGAAUAGCAGAAAAUAAUGAACCUGAUGAAAAAUAUAAGAAUUCAUAAGGAUAAUCAAUAUCAAAAAAUAAAUUAAUCUCUCAUGAUAUAAAGGUAAUUGGAUUUCACAUAAAAUAAAUAAAU